rnacentral:rRNA from 1 species
GAUGAACGCUGGCGGCGUGCCUAAUACAUGCAAGUCGAACGAAUCACUUCGGUGGUUAGUGGCGAACGGGUGAGUAACACGUAGGUAAUCUGCCCUUCAGACGAGGAUAACGGUUGGAAACGACCGCUAAUACUGGAUAGUACAUCUUGUCGCAUGACGGGAUGUUUAAAGUUCCGUGCGGAACACUGAAGGAGGAGCCUGCGGCGCAUUAGUUAGUUGGCGGGGUAACAGCCCACCAAGACGAUGAUGCGUAGCCGGACUGAGAGGUUGAACGGCCACAUUGGGACUGAGACACGGCCCAGACUCCUACGGGAGGCAGCAGUAGGGAAUUUUCGGCAAUGGGGGAAACCCUGACCGAGCAACGCCGCGUGAAUGAUGAAGUAUUUCGGUAUGUAAAAUUCUUUUAUAGAGGACGAAUGUUACUAAUAGGAAAUGAUUAGUAAGUGACGGUACUUUAUGAAUAAGCCCCGGCUAACUAUGUGCCAGCAGCCGCGGUAAUACAUAGGGGGCAAGCGUUAUCCGGAAUUAUUGGGCGUAAAGGGUGCGUAGGCGGCAUAUUAAGUCUGAGGUGAAAGUGCGGGGCUCAACCCCGUGAUGCCUUGGAAACUGAUAAGCUAGAGUGUGGUAGAGGCAAGUGGAACUCCAUGUGUAGCGGUAAAAUGCGUAAAUAUAUGGAAGAACACCAGUGGCGAAGGCGGCUUGCUAGGCCAUUACUGACGCUGAGGCACGAAAGCGUGGGGAGCAAACAGGAUUAGAUACCCUGGUAGUCCACGCCGUAAACGAUGAGUACUAAGUGUUGGUGAAAAUCAGUGCUGAAGUUAACGCAUUAAGUACUCCGCCUGAGUAGUACGUACGCAAGUAUGAAACUUAAAGGAAUUGACGGGAGCCCGCACAAGCGGUGGAGCAUGUUGUUUAAUUCGAGGAUACGCGAAGAACCUUACCAGGUCUUGACAUCCGAUGCAAAACUAUGGAGACAUAGCGGAGGUUAACAUCGAGACAGGUGGUGCAUGGUUGUCGUCAGCUCGUGUCGUGAGAUGUUGGGUUAAGUCCCGCAACGAGCGCAACCCUCGUCGUUAGUUACCAUCAUUAAGUUGGGGACUCUAGCGAUACUGCCAGUGAUAAACUGGAGGAAGGUGGGGAUGACGUCAAAUCAUCAUGCCCUUUAUGGCCUGGGCUACAAACGUGCUACAAUGGAUACUACAGAGAGAAGCCAAGCCGCGAGGUGGAGCAAACCUCACAAAAGUAUUCUCAGUUCGGAUUGAAGUCUGCAACUCGACUUCAUGAAGUUGGAAUCGCUAGUAAUCGCGAAUCAGAACGUCGCGGUGAAUACGUUCUCGGGCUUUGUACACACCGCCCGUCAAACCAUGAGAGCUUGUAAUACCCGAAACCGGUGGCCUAACCGCAAGGAGGGAGCCGUCUAAGGUAGGACAAGUGAUUGGGGUUA